GAUGAUAAAGAAAAAAUGAGGAAAUGCUGUGAAGAACUAAUAGAACGUUUCAGAAGCAGAACAAGUCGAGAGCAGUGAUGACCCUUUUCUUCCUGCUAGUACCUCCUGUCUGUCUGGCUGAACUCACCAUCAGAUGAUGUCUUGAACCUCACCUAGAUGGGCUGGUGGUGUGUGGCCAGGUUAAGAGCACCAACAGGAGUAAGAAAGUGACCUGCCUGGUUUUACCGUGUGCACUAGGGGAGGGGUUGAAAGCUUUCGGUUGAUACAUCACCUCUGGGAGUUGAAGAAGAAUGCAAUUAAGAGAGCUAAAGAAGUCGGUAUAGAAUCUGAAACUCAGAGGUCAACUGAUGUGUCAAAGAUACCUCCACAAAUCAGUACCUUGAUUAAAACUAAAAUUGGAGUCAUCUUCAUAUCUUCAUCUUUCUCCCUCUUCAUUAGGACCGAUUGUAGUCUGUUUCCCUCUCACUCACUUGCAAUCUUUAUUGCUUUAGUGUUGCAUUUGAUUUUUAUCUUUGUUUUUGUUUUAAAUACUGUCAUUAAAGUCAUAGAAAAAUCUAAAGUAAAACUGGUUGAAUAAAAAUUUUAAAAUCGACUCUAAUGUAAUAAACCAGACAAAAAUGAUACUUUACAUGUUAUAUCUUCCCUUUAAACUACAAAUAUUCAUUGAGUGUAUACCCUGUAUUAGGCUGUUGGAAUAAAACAGGGAAGAAGACAGAAGAAACUGCACCGCCAUCUUAGAUCUUGCAGCCAAAUUCCUCUGAACUUUUCUCUAAAGACGUGCUCUGGAAAAAUGUUGAUCAUUUUCCUACAUCAUGGAGGUCUUUUCAUGACCACCUUUGUCUAGACAAUGUCCUGUUUUUAGGUGCACGUUUGAGGGCUGGAGUCUCUGACCCACAGUGCUGCAGCCUGCACGUGGUUUGUCCUGACUUCUUUGCUACUUCACUUUUCGUAAGGCUCUGAGAGUGCA
rnacentral:lncRNA from 10 species